rnacentral:tRNA from 1 species
UCUAAAGUGUCAGAAAAAUGUGUUAAAUUUAGGAUUUAACUAUGGGCUCGUCCCCUUUAGAA